AUCACUUCUUCCACCAAAAAUCAGAAACGUUUUCUCUCUUAUGCUCUCUAGUCCGUGUGAGUGCCAAGCCGCAAAGAAGCAAGCAUGCAACCAUAAGAGCUUCCUCAACGCUGCCUAGGUCCCUUCCUACACUGGUUCAUCAUCACUUUGAAGCUUCAAGGCCAAGAAGACUCUCAAAAGUGAGCACCAUAAAGUAUCUGGAUUGAUCGAACCUUAUUUGCCUUAUACUACGAUUGUCAAAAAGGGUUCUUAAUUGUCGUGCCCCAGUUUCGGUGUCCGCCAAUUUUAGCGUCGUUGCCGGGGGACUUUAAAAGUCUCCUACGGUUCUUUUAGUUGUAAAUAUUUAACUUUACUAAAAUAACUUUUACUAACGAUUGUUUGUUUUAUUUCUUUUCAAGUUUGUGUCUCACUUGGUAAAUCGUUGGAUCAAAGAGGCCGCAAAAAUUGAUUUAGGCUUUAACCCUUCGUUAGCACCUUACUAAACGGUCUCUCGAGGUAGAGGGCGGCCCUUAUCUAGCUCUUGUAGGACAUCAAAGAUAUGAGUUGUUCCUAGCUAAGUAAGGGGCACUUUGGGUGGUGUCUAGGCUCGAGUAAGCGCCUGAGACCAAAAUUGGGCUUCAAAGGGCCAUAGACUGUGCGCGAGCACAAUAGGGGUUUCGACCUCCGUGGCUCAUUUAAACGAAGUCCUACCAGCACCGCUUCACUUCGACCUGGCCAUCCAAGCCUUCUGAAACCAUGGAAUUA